CUGAAUGGAGGACCGAACCGACUUACGUUGAAAAGUGAGCGGAUGAACUGAGGGUAGCGGAGAAAUUCCAAUCGAACCUGGAGAUAGCUGGUUCUCUCCGAAAUAGCUUUAGGGCUAGCCUCAAGUGAUGAUUAUUGGAGGUAGAGCACUGUUUGGACGAGGGGCCCCUCUCGGGUUACCGAAUUCAGACAAACUCCGAAUGCCAAUUAAUUUAACUUGGGAGUCAGAACAUGGGUGAUAAGGUCCGUGUUCGAAAGGGAAACAGCCCAGACCACCAGCUAAGGUCCCAAAAUAUAUGUUAAGUGGAAAAGGAUGUGGCGUUGCCCAGACAACUAGGAUGUUGGCUUAGAAGCAGCCAUCAUUUAAAGAGUGCGUAAUAGCUCACUAGUCGAGUGACACUGCGCCGAAAAUGUACCGGGGCUAAACAUAUUACCGAAGCUGUGGAUUGUCCUUUGGACAAUGGUAGGAGAGCGUUCUAAGGGCGUUGAAGCAUGAUCGUAAGAACAUGUGGAGCGCUUAGAAGUGAGAAUGCCGGUGUGAGUAGCGAAAGACGGGUGAGAAUCCCGUCCACCGAUUGACUAAGGUUUCCAGAGGAAGGCUCGUCCGCUCUGGGUUAGUCGGGUCCUAAGC
rnacentral:rRNA from 1 species